rnacentral:lncRNA from 1 species
GUGCUGCAGUGCCACCACCAUACUGCUGCCUGAAGGGACAGACUCCAUAAAACACUGGUGUCAGUGUUUAUGGCAAAGAGCCUCUUCCCUAAACUGACCUUUAGUUUAUUUCUGGUAAGUAAGUGUGUUAACAUUCAGGCCGUUGUAUUAAUUUGUCACUUGCCCCAAAUUUUAUGGCAGUAGGUAAAAGUAAAAUGAAACCGUAAUUGUUCUGUUACAGCCUUCCCUAUCUGGAAUUAAUUACAAAGUCAUUAUAAUAUCAACAUUUAUUUUUUUGUAAAGAGAAAGCCACAAUCAUGGUUUUAAUUUCACAUAUGCGGUAUAGAAAUUGCCUGAUCAUUCCUCUGUGUUAAAAGUACGUUCUGUAACUCAACCAGUGCAAAGGGCUGGGAGCAGUUUUCUGUAAAGCACAUUACUGGGUGUAUUUCAGCUGUGCUGCUGCAGGUGAAGAGUGGGUGUGUGCUGAGCUGGAUUAAGCAACUGUUAUGAAUUCACCCAGAUGUUCUCACCCUUUAAAUUAAAUUGCUCUAAAAUUUAUGUCAAACAGUUAACAAAUUCUUGUGUAAAGAAUUUGUUGAAAGGGAACAGUUGUAAUUAAUACAAGGCUAUAAAGUGGCUUUUCAAGGUAGCUUGUGACAAAUUAAGCCCCUCCAAGUUUGCCCAGGCUGAUGCAAUACUUAUGGAGGCAAAGAGAAGCUCUGUCUCUGGCUUUUGAGGGUAGAGAAUGCGGUGGGAGGAGUAAGAGCCAGUAAUGAGCACCAGAGGAGGAGAAAAGAGAAGCAGACAGGAGGGUAGAGGUGUAGAGGCGGGCUGAGGACUACAUGUAUAUAGGUGAAAUCUCUGGGGCUUGAGACUCCAUUUAAGUGCAGCUCAGUGGAAAAUGAAAAGAUUCCAUUUUUACUUCUGUGAAUGCAACUUUGGACAGCUAACAUCAUAUUUGUUUUGGAGCUGUUGUGAGGUGAAUGGCAAAUGUCAAUUAAAGGAAAAAGCUGCAGUUACAAUUCAGAAGUCUUGAUCCAGGUACAAGGAAUGCACUGUGGUAGCAGUCAAUAGUGAAAAGUUGUUCUGCACUGUGAUUACAACAGAGGAAACAGUCUGAGAUAUCUUUAAGAGAGAAGAGAGUUUAAGAGAGUUUGGCUGAUUACAAAAUGCAAGGUUUGAUAGGAGAUAUGUGUGCUCAGAAAAGGUACAUUAUCAAACACUCUUCAAAACUCCAUAAAUGUUGCGUCUACAUCACUUGAUCAAAUAAUGUAGAUCCUGUGUGUAUAUACAAGAGAGGGU